UGCGUAGGUGGUUUCUUAAGUCAGAGGUGAAAGGCUACGGCUCAACCGUAGUAAGCCUUUGAAACUGGGAAACUUGAGUGCAGGAGAGGAGAGUGGAAUUCCUAGUGUAGCGGUGAAAUGCGUAGAUAUUAGGAGGAACACCUGUUGCGAAGGCGGCUCUCUGGACUGUAACUGACACUGAGGCACGAAAGCGUGGGGAGCAAACA
rnacentral:rRNA from 1 species